rnacentral:rRNA from 1 species
AGUGAACGCUGGCGGUAGGCCUAACACAUGCAAGUCGAACGGCAGCACAGAGGAGCUUGCUCCUUGGGUGGCGAGUGGCGGACGGGUGAGGAAUACAUCGGAAUCUACUCUGUCGUGGGGGAUAACGUAGGGAAACUUACGCUAAUACCGCAUACGACCUACGGGUGAAAGCAGGGGAUCUUCGGACCUUGCGCGAUUGAAUGAGCCGAUGUCGGAUUAGCUAGUUGGCGGGGUAAAGGCCCGCCAAGGCGACGAUCCGUAGCUGGUCUGAGAGGAUGAUCAGCCACACUGGAACUGCGACACGGUCCAGACUCCUACGGGAGGCAGCAGUGGGGAAUAUUGGACAAUGGGCGCAAGCCUGAUCCAGCCAUACCGCGUGGGUGAAGAAGGCCUUCGGGUUGUAAAGCCCUUUUGUUGGGAAAGAAAUCCAUCUGGUUAAUACCCGGGUGGGAUGACGGUACCCAAAGAAUAAGCACCGGCUAACUUCGUGCCAGCAGCCGCGGUAA